GACGAACGCUGGCGGCGCGCUUAACACAUGCAAGUCGAGCGAAGCGGCGGACGGGUGAGUAACACGUGAGUAACCUGCCUUAGACAUUGGGAUAGCCUCGGGAAACCGGGAUUAAUACCAAAUGGUCUAAGAUGGACUCGCGUCCCAUUAGCUAGUUGGUGGGUAACGGCCCACCAAGGCGAGGAUGGGUAGCCGGCCUGAGAGGGGGAACGCCAAAAUUGGAACGGGGAAACGGUCAAAACUCUACGGGAGGCAGCAGUGGGGAAUAUUGAACAAUGGAGGGACCUCUGAUGCAGCGACGCCGGGUGAACGAAGAAGGCUUUCGAGACGUAAAGUUCUUUUAUAUGGGAAGCGGUACCAUAAGAAAAAGCCCCGGCUAACUACGUGCCAGCAGCCGCGGUAAUAC
rnacentral:rRNA from 1 species